rnacentral:lncRNA from 1 species
UUAUCUAUAAAAUAGUGAAUUUUUAAUUUUGCUCCUAUAUUUUUGAAAAUUGUUUUCACCUCAUCUCUUAUGUCUGGCUCUGGUUACUAGCUGUAGCGACUCUUCUUCACUAAGAACAGCUGCUGUGGAGAGAAAGUGUGAAAGAUAAAUGUACAUGCAGAUUUAAAGGUCAUAGUGAGAAAAGCAUUAUUGAGAGAGAUGAUGGCAUUUCAUUCAACCCUACAACUUAUAAGUGACAAUAAGGGUCCAUGUGGGGCUAGGUGGUUGAAGCUUUCUUAUAUAACCACAGGCAAGUUUUUUUAGCUUUGCUCUUACAAUUUUGCCAGUUUGAGAUUCAAUGACUCAAACAAAUAGGUGAUGAUGAGCACAUACAAUUCACCAUUUUCUCUUCUCUAUCUCUCACCAUAUACAAUUGAGUAGCUGGCAACCUGGCAUAUCCCCUUCUUCUACAUGUGCAUACCUUCCCUAUAAUUGGAUAUAUUAUAUGUGUAAGCAAGUAGGAACUCUCUACCUACAUUAAUCCUUUCUUUCCUUUCUCUUUCUUAGUUUUAUAUUACAGUUAUAUGUAACAUCAUCUAUGACUGCCAUUAUCCUCCUAAUAAAUUAAUUUACUUUAUGGUGUUUGGUUACCAGGA